rnacentral:lncRNA from 10 species
GUGCAUGCAGCCCCUGUCACGUACCCCUUGCUUGACUGAAUCAAUCACGACCCUUUCAUGUAAAAUCUUUAGUGUUGUGAGCCCUUAAAUGGGACAGAAACUGUGCACUCAGGGAGCUUGGAUUUUAAGGCAGUAGCUUGCCGAUGCUACCAGCUGAAUAAAGCCCUUCCUUCUACAACUCGAUGUCUGAGAAGUUUUGUCUGCAGCUCGUCCUGCUACAUUUCUUGGUUCCCUGACCGGGAAGUGAGGUAAUUGACGGACUGCCGAGGCAGCACCUUAGGCGGCUUAGACGUGCCCUGUGGAGCAUCUCUGCGGGGGACUCCAGCCAGCCUGAGUGACGCGAUCCAAACAGCGCUCCUGGGUAGGAAAAUGCCCCAGUGGGAUGCCUCACCAGAGCAGCGCUUGGCAGGCCCCCGCGGAGGAUAAACACAGUGGCUGAACACCAGGAAGGAACUGGCACUUGGAGUCCAGACAUCUGAAACUUGCUUGCCCCUAAUGGUUGCAAGGUGAUCACCAUCUUGACCUCACAGUCAUGUGACUUCAAACAAUGGAAUCCAAAACAAGGCUUAAGUUCCUUGUAGAUCAUGGAUAUUAGACAAGAAAUAAAGCCACACACCUACAACCAUCUGACCUUUGACAAAGCUGACAAAAGCAAGAGGGAAAGGACUCUAUUCAAUAAGUGCUAGGAUAACUGGCUAGCCAUAUGCAGAAGAUUGAAACUGGACCCCUUCUUUAUACCAUACACAAGAAUCAACUAAAUGAUUGAAGACCUAAACGUAAAACCUAAAACUAUAAAAACCGUAGAAGAUAACCUAGAAAAUACCGUUUUGGACAUACGAACUGGCAAAGAUUCCAAAACAAAAAUGCCACAGGCAAUUGCAACAAAAGCAAAAAUUGACAAAUGAGACCUAACUAAAUUAAACUAAAGAGCUUCUGCACAGCAAAAGAAACUAUCAACAGGGUAAACAGGCAACCUACAGAAUGUGAGAAAAUAUUUGCAAACUAUAUAUCUAAUUCAUAUUUAUUAUAAGUGCAUGUUUACCUGUAUCUCCCAAUCAUUGUACCCUAACACCUAACCCAGAUGGUGACACAUAGUAAGUGCCUUGAUAAAUACUUGUUGAACAAAUCAAUGUUUCAUAGCUUUAGUUCUUUUUGUAAAAUAGAAUGUAAAGUUGGGGGUGGGAGUUUCAUGAAAAUCACAUACCUCUCAGAAAAGAAAACAAAUGGUGAUUAAAAAUGAGUAAAACAAUUACAAAAUAUAUUGUAGCCUUGCCUAUAUCAGACAAUAGCAAAAUAAUAAGGUUCCAGUUUGUACUUUAGAGUUCCCAAAUAAAAAUUUACAAAUCCCAUAAGGGUUGUAAUGAAAUUUGUAUUUCUAAAACCAUGGAAUUUAAACAUUCUUUGAAUAUUU